GUUUUGAUUGCAUGAACCGUUACCCUUUGCUAUGCUUUUGUUCAUGGUCGAAUCUUGCUUGAAGAUGAUGUUUACCUAUGCUGUUUUACUAUCUUAAACCAUGCCUAGAAAAUCCAGGAGAGCUAUGUGGUAUGCUGUUUGAAUGCUUGCUAAAUCCAUGCUGUUGUGUGUUUGUUGUUGGAUUUCAUUGUAAUUGAUUGCAUGAUGAUGAUUGAAUGUGUACAUGCUGCUUGUUUAAAC
rnacentral:lncRNA from 1 species